AAAAUGUAAAAACGAGAAGAAUUUAAUCAUUUAUAUAUUUGUUUGGAGAUCUAAGAUUACUUGGAGGUUCGUUGGAUUUGAUUUAUUGCUCAAAUCCUUCUCCAUCUAUGAUACUUUUGGAGGGAAUAGCAUCUUCUUUCCAUUUUAGUACCGGGUAUUUUCUUAUGGGGUCCUUUCGAUGACAAGCACUUCCAUUUUUUUUCUCCUUGAGGGAUCCUUUGGAAAAUGAUGGUCAAUUAUGUUGUUAGAAGAAUUACAAAUAUAAAGUACACAGUUGACACUUUAUUGCACAAAUUCAUUAUAUUUUCCGAAUGGCGAAUAGGAUACCAAACGCCUCUGUCUUGGCCAACAACGUAGUUCCAGAUCUUAAAAGAUAAAAAAACUAGUAUGGUAAAUAUAGUUACCAUUCCGCAAUUGAGUGUGCGCACAUAGGUUAUACUAUUAUUUAAAUUCCUACUGAUUUACAGUAGACAAAAUUCAUGACAUUUUGGUAGAAGAGUCGGAUGACGAAUGAUUGAUUCUUGCAAUUGAGCCCCCAUUAGAAAAUGCUAACACAGAUGAUGAUUGCGACUCGGAUUAAACUUAUGAAGAGUUUGUAGUUGAUCCUGAUCACUUGCCGAGAAGAAUCUUGCAAAUAUUAUUUUUUAAAUCUGAAGAUGGUAAUGCUGGGUAUAUUAAAAAAAUUAGCCUUCCCAGCCAUCAAGAAAGAUAAGUUAAAAGGAAAUCUUUGCCUGACAUAAAAAAAGUUCUAAAGUUAUUCAUUGUGUGAAUGAUUAUGAAGUUUUAAAUAACUCUUUAGCAAUGAAGAGCAUUCGGAUGAAAUAUCGGAACUAAUUGAACAUUACUGGUAUGAUGAAUGUUUGAUUAUGUCUGUGAACAAAGCAAAUUUUAUACUGAGUAAAAGUCUCUGUGCAUGAUUGACACUUCUUUGGUUAUAUUGAAAUGAGAUUUCCUCAUCGAUUUCUGAUGCUCAUUGCUGUAAUUGUAUCCAAACAAUUUUAUUAGUGCAGAAUAUGUUUGUUUUUUUAAAUUAGGUGGUCAUCAAUUUUAAAAGAAUUAUUUGCAUAUUAUAAAGAAUACAAAUAACUACUGAACUUACUUGAGUUACUUAUUCUUUUGUGUUAUUAAUUAAAUGCGUAUUACUAGCUUGACAAUUACUUUAAGAUAAAAAUGGAACUACUUUAAACAUGGAAUUCAGCAUAGAGGCAAGAUUAAUUACAACAAUUUGACACUCCGAAACAUAUCUCUUUUUGUGGCCUUUGUGGAGGACUCUCUUCGUGUUUGAGCUAUGAUAGAAAGAGGCACAGUUUGUUCAUUUGAAAAAACACAUGUUGCUUAACAAACGCAUAAAUAAUAAAGGUAGAUAUAACUAUUUCUCCUUUUGUGUUAGUCCGCAUUAUGGAGAUGUAUUAAAAUUUCUAGAGAUGCGUAGUUUCUUUCAUAUUGAGGAAGAACUUUCAUUAGAGGAAAAAGAUUCCUCCAUCAAGGAUAUAACGUCAUCAUGCACACAUGAAAGUGGACUAUCAAACAUGAUACAUUAAGGAAUUUACUCGAACUAACCUAUUUACAUAUUUUAUCUUUAGUACAUAAAAAUGAAGAUUUACAAAAAAUUGUAGUAUAUAUAAAGGCAUCAAUAAAAAAUACACCUCCUGUGUUUAAAUGCGCUGAGAAAUCCGAUCA
rnacentral:lncRNA from 1 species